UCCGCCGUUGCUCUCAUCGCAUCUGCUCCUUCUGGCGCCUCUUCCAUCUAAUCUCAACUCGCUCUCUCAGUUCUUCUCGUACCCAUCUCGAAUUUCAGGUAUAUAUAUCCUGAUUUUGUGAUUCUGUUCUUCGUGAUAAACCUUAGGGUUCAAUUUUUCUGCGCCAGUUUUAGCUGGGUUUAUCAUACUCUGCUUUUGUGCUUCGUGAAUCUGUAGGUUUACUCUGAUUUUGAUGAAUUUUUUUCUGCAAUCGGAAGCUUUUUUGACCUAAAAUUCAUGGUUUUUAGGUAUAACACUUAGUGGUAGGCCAUUGCUUUCGACUAAAGGCUCUUUCACUUAUUAUCAUUCUAUGACUUGUUAAUUUUCUAAGUGGUUAUGAUUUGCUUGGACGAACAAAAGAUCAGAUUAGGACAACAGAACAAGUUAAUGCUGCACUUGUUGCAUGUAACAGUUUGAAGCUUGAUGGCCUUGUUAUCAGUGGAGGUGUUACAUGAAACACGAAUGCUAUGCAACUUACAGAAACUUGAUUAUAUUGAUUCUCUUGCAAUUGUAAUCUUAUCCUCCAAAGUUAAUAGAAGUGGUUCUAGGUCUCACAUGCCUAACGAGCUGCAAAUCAUUGAAAUUUUAUUGGCAUUUUGCAUUAGGGGUUGUUAAAUAUCAAGUCAAAUCUGUAGCACAGCAUCUGUUUGAGGAACCGUUGUCUAUUGAUCAUGUCGAGCGAGCGCUGGAUAAUAUUUAUAAGGUUUCUGAAGAACACCCCACUAGUAGAUAUGUUAUCAGGAAUGCUGACAUUGUGGUAUUGAUAGUGACUAUUCUUAGCAAGAACUCUAAAACUAUUGGAUCGCGUUUGAGAAGCAAAGUUCUAAUGACUUUACUUAGCAUAGCCAAGGACAAAGAAAGCAGGGUUCUGAUGGCGUUAAGAUAGAGAUGGCCUCUUUAGUAGGAAGGAUGACAUUGACAAAUAG